rnacentral:rRNA from 1 species
GACGGAAGGUGCAAGCGUUGCUCGGAAUCACUGGGCGUAAAGGGUGCGUAGGCGGCUUCUUAAGUCUGGUGUGAAAGCCCAGGGCUCAGCUCUGGAAGUGCACUAGAUACUGGGAGCUUGAGUACCGGGAGGGGAGAGUGGAAUUCCUGGUGUAGCGGUGAAAUGCGUAGAUAUCAGGAGGAAUACCGGUGGCGAAAGCGACUCUCUGGACGG